AUAGUCAAUACUAGAAUCGAUCUUUUGACAAAAUUUAAUUUGAUUUUUUUUAAAGUUUCAGUAGAAAGAAAGUAAUGAAUGAUGGGAUUAGACACUUCUUUGAGCUGUUGUAAAUCAAAAAAUAGGAGUUGUGUAUGUUGGCAGUGGAGUAAGGGUGGAGACAAUGAGCCAGAUUCUGCUCUGAUUUAAACUACUGUAAAUCCAGAGAAACAUCCUGUGUUAAUGGAUUUUUCUUCAGAUUUACAAUGAGGUAGCUGCUAGCAGAAUUUCACCCCUACUGUACAUUUUAAAAGUGGCUAUUGAAUAUGUGCAUUUUCCACUUUGCAGAAGAAUUUUACUACAGCUAAACAAUACAGAUCUACAUCUUAAGAUGAAUGUUCUGAACAUACCGUAAUGGUGACAUAUGGUUGUAUGCAUAUUAAUAGUAUUGGAAGUAUAUUAUUCUUGGGAAAUAAACUAUAAUUGGCCCAAUGGCAUUUUAUAUUUAAAGCAGCCAAUAGUAUGUACUUUACUUUUGUAUUAACAGCAAGACCAUUGUGAGCUAAUCUUUCUUGUGAACUCUUAAAUACUUUCUUGAUACUUUUAUUCUUUUCUUUUUUAGGGCCUUAAUCUGCAAACACUUAUACACAUGCUUAGCUUUAUUCAUAUGAGUAUGGGAUGACUCACGUGAGUAAAGAUACUUCAGUAUUUGCAAGAUCAGGCCCUUAAACACUGCUUAAUAAAAGAACAAAAUUCCCUUAAUUUAAUAUUUAUGCUAGGACUGACUUUUCAAAACAGGGAUGCAAUCCAACUCUUCCCAGGCAAACUCUCACUGGGAGUUUUGUGCAAGUGAUAUCUGCAAGAUUGGCCUAAAUAGCACCUACUUAACUGUACAUACACCAAUUGUCCAUGCAAAAUUGUCUUUCCUUUGUGCAAAAGGGGUAAUUGUUUAUGUAAAUGAUUCAGACUUUGUGUGUAUGUGCGCAAGCGCGCCCAUGUGUGAGAGGUGCAGUUUAUGGGCCUGAUUUUCAGCAGUAGCUGAGUAGCCAUAUCCAUUGACAUUGAUGGAAGUUUUUUAUUCUAGAAAUCAGGCUCUAUUUGAGCAGGUUUGGACAAUAAUGUAGUAAAGUCUGAGAUUUAUCAAACAAGAAAUUCAGAGCUUCGUCUGAAAUUCCUUUCUUUCUCUCUGUUGUCCCAGGAGCACAGGGGUCUCCAAAUGGGAGGUAACUACUCAGCUCUAAUGCAGUAAAAUCACUCAUACUUCGGAGACUCAAGCUACCACAGCAAAAACAGGACAGAUGCCUGAGAUUAACCACCAACUGGAUUUAACACUAUUCAAACAUCUGUGCUUUAGGGUAUGCCGCAUUCUUCUGACAUCAAGAGAAGUGCAUUAAAUAUGUGGUCUUUGACAUAUUAGUGCUUAGUGGAGAAAAAAAAUCAAGGAACACUACGCUUUGCAAUAAUAAAGUACUAUUUUAGAAUGAAAUAUGUUGCUGCCGACUUGCGUGUUUAUAAAUAAGAGAAUGCUCCAGAGAAAUACCCAUCCAUCCUUCUGUUCAGUAUAUUUAAAAAGACACUGUCAAGGGAAUUUUCAUCAUUUGAAUAUUUUUUCUUGCUGUUUGUAAUCCCUUGGAAGCUUAACACUGAAAUUUGGCGUGCUCCAUUGUGUACAGAUAUUAAUCUGUUAUUGUAUAGUUGUUCCUAAGUGAGGGAAAGGGAGCCUUGAUUUAUUAUUUUAAAGCGUCAGUAUGUUUGUUUUCAAAAGCAAAAGGGUAAGAGUUUCAAAAGCACUCAGUAUUGGCCUAACUUGUCUCCCACUGAAGUCAAUAGUGAACACCCAUAGAUUGCAGUGGGAGUAGAGUUAAGUAAAUGCUGACUGCUUUCAGAAAUCCCACUGAAUAUGCAUAGGGUGAAACUCAACCUCACCCACUUCCCACAAAGGCCAAUUAAUCUUGUGUGGGAGAUUAAUGUGGAGAUGGACCCCAAAGCCCAUGGCAGAGUAGCUGCCACAACCCGAUCCCACAAGAAGGUUUUGCAUCACUUGAACCACAUAGUUAUGGAUUUUCUACUCCAUCUACAAGCCAUCUUCAUCCAUAUCAGCCUAUCUGGACCUGGUGCAAGGCCCCACUCCAUGGCAUUCACAGAGUGCAGAGGCUGCCCAGUAUGGGUAUUUAGAUGGUAGUCACUGAACAACCCCACCAGUGGAAUUAACUGGUGCCAGGGGGACAUUGCAGAGUUCAGUCUCACUCUUGAGAACUGCAUCAUCUUUGCAGGCAAUGAAUGAAAAAUAUUGGGCCUUCCAAUCCUGUUAAUGUCCCUUGAACUAACCAAAUUUUCUGAAAUGAAAAUAUGCUGCUAUUUAAGACUAAUACUUCAAAUAACUGAUUUCCACAAUAGUGCUGUCACCUAAAAAUCCCCCUCCUCUGAGCAUUAGCAACAGUUAUUUCUAUCUGCUGUACACUGUAUCUUUAGGUAUAUUUUAGGCUAUUUAUAUUUACGCUUUGUAUACAGACAGGAAUUAGGAAGAGGGUAAGUUUGGAUCAGAUACAAUGUGUGUGUACUGUGUUAGGAACAGAGUUGUGCAACAUUUUUCAGUGAAUAGUGAAUCCACCAAUAAACGUGUUUUGGGGACACUGAGAAUAUUUCAUGAUUUUUUUGUGUCAAACUCAGCAACUGAUUUUGGCUGGAAAAAAAACAAUUAAACUCAGAACUGUCAAAAUUAA